rnacentral:rRNA from 1 species
CCUACGGGAGGCAGCAGUGGGGAAUAUUGCACAAUGGGGGGAACCCUGAUGCAGCAAUGCCGCGUGGGGGAAGAAGCACUACGGUGCGUAAAGCCCUGUCAGCAGGGAAGAAAAUGACAGUACCUGGACAAGAAGCCCCGGCCAACUACGUGCCAGCAGCCGCGGUAAUACGUAGGGGGCAAGCGUGAUCCGGAUUUACGGGGGGUAAAGGGAGCGCAGGCGGUGGGGCAAGUCAGAGGUGAAAACCCGGGGCCCAACCCCGGGAGUGCAUUUGAAACUGCCAUGCUGGAGUGCCGGAGAGGUAAGCGGAAUGCCUGGUGUAGCGGUGAAAUGCGUAGAUAUUAGGCGGAACACCAGUGGCGAAGGCGGCUCACUGGACGGUAACUGACGCUGAGGCUCGAAAGCGUGGGGAGCAAACAGGAUUAGAUACCCUUGUAGUC